ACGGAAGGUGCAAGCGUUGCUCGGAAUCACUGGGCGUAAAGGGUGCGUAGGCGGCUUCGUGAGUCGGGUGUGAAAGCCCCGGGCUCAGCCUGGGAAGGGCAGUCGAUACUGCGGAGCUAGAGUGCCGGAGGGGAGAGUGGAAUUCCUGGUGUAGCGGUGAAAUGCGUAGAUAUCAGGAGGAAUACCGGUGGCGAAAGCGACUCUCUGGACGGCAACUGACGCUGAGGCACGAAAGCGUGGGGAGCAAACAGGA
rnacentral:rRNA from 1 species